rnacentral:rRNA from 1 species
UACAGAGGGGGCAAGCGUUGUUCGGAAUUACUGGGCGUAAAGGGCGCGUAGGCGGCCUGUUAAGUCGAACGUGAAAUCCCCGGGCUCAACCCGGGAACUGCGUCCGAUACUGGCAGGUUUGAAUCCGGGAGAGGGAUGCGGAAUUCCAGGUGUAGCGGUGAAAUGCGUAGAUAUCUGGAGGAACACCGGUGGCGAAGGCGGCGAUCCUGGACCGGGCAUU